rnacentral:rRNA from 1 species
UGGGGAAUAUUGCGCAAUGGGGGGAACCCUGACGCAGCAACGCCGCGUGCAGGAAGAAGGUCUUCGGAUUGUAAACUGUUGUCGCGAGGGAAGAAGGAAGAUGACGGUACCUCGUGAGAAAGUCACGGCUAACUACGUGCCAGCAGCCGCGGUAAUACGUAGGUGACAAGCGUUGUCCGGAUUUACUGGGUGUAAAGGGCGCGCAGGCGGGCAGGCAAGUCAGUCGUGAAAUGCCGGGGCUCAACCCCGGAGCUGCGAUUGAAACUGCAGGUCUUGAGUAUCGGAGAGGAAAGCGGAAUUCCCAGUGUAGCGGUGAAAUGCGUAGAUAUUGGGAGGAACACCAGUGGCGAAGGCGGCUUUCUGGACGACAACUGACGCUGAGGCGCGAAAGUGUGGGGAGCAAACA